ensembl:misc_RNA 7SK 7SK RNA
AGAUGUGAGGGCGAUCUGGCUGCAACAUCUGUCACCCCAUUGAUCGAUCGCCAGGGUUGAUUCGGCUGAUCUGGCUGGCUAGGUGGGUGUCCCCUUCCUCCCUCACCACUCCAUGUGCGUCCCUCCCAAAGCUGCGUGCUCGGACGUAGAGGAUGGCCUUCCCCAAACAGAGACAGAUGGGUCUUUCAUCGAGGGUAUAUGAGUAGCCACGUUCCCCUGCUAGAACCUCCAAACAAGCUCCCAGAAUAGCCAGUGUGGUGUCAUGAGUAUAGAAUCCAGACAGCUGGGUCACAGACUGGCUAUAUCAAUAUAACUGUGCAAGUCCUGAUCAAAUAUUU